UAGGGAAUAUUAGAAAUGGACGAAAGUCUGAUCUAGCAACACCGCGUGUGCGAAGAAGGCCUUCGGGUUGUAAAGCACUUUUUGGAAGGAUUAGGAAGGAAUGUACUUCCAGAAUAAGUCUCGGCUAACUACGUGCCAGCAGCCGCUGUAACACGUAGGAGGCAAACGUUAUCCGGAUUUACUGGGCGUAAAGCGCGUGUAGGUGGUUCUGUAAGUAGGGCGUGAAAGCUCCUGGCUCAACUGGGAGAGGCCGUUCAAAACUAUCAGACUUGAGAGUGGUAGAGGGAGGUGGAAUUCCGCAUGUAGUGGUGAAAUGCGUAGAUAUGCGGAGGAACACCAGUGGCGAAAGCGGCCUCCUGGCCCAUUUCUGACGCUCAGACACGAAAGCUAAGGUAGCAAACG
rnacentral:rRNA from 1 species